rnacentral:rRNA from 1 species
AUGCCGCAGCAGCAACCACCCCUCCCGCUCCCGCCGCGCAUGCGCCCGCCGACGGACCGCGAGGCUGCCGCGGCCGGGCCGCCUCCCCCACGGCAGCGCCUGGGCCAGGCGCCGAGGCCGUUCCGCGCGGCGGAGGAGCCCGCGGCCCGCGGGCCUCCCGUCGCCGACAGGGCCAGGCCGCCGGAGCCGCGGCCCCGCCCCAGCCUCGCGGAGGAGGCCCGCGCGUCUCACGAGGCUCUCCUCGCCAACGUCGCCAGGACGGCCGGGAAGCCGGAGGGCCGCGCCGCUCGGGAGGCUCCCGUCGUCCCCGUGGCCAAGCCGCCGGAGCAGCUUCACGGAGCGCCGGAGGGACGCGCGGCUCGGGAGGCUCCCGUCGCCCCCGUGGCCAGGCCGCCGGAGAAGCUGCACGUUGCGGCGGAGGAGCGCAAGACUCCUCGGGAGGCUCCCGUCGCCCCCGUGGCCAGGUCGCCGGAGCAGCUGUAUGGCUCGCCGGAGGGACGCGCGGCUCGGGAGGCCCCCGUCGCCACAGUGGCCAGGCCUCCGGAGCCGCGGCCGGGGCCGUACUACGUGCCGGGGGGCGGCGCGGCGGCGGCUCCCGUCGCAACCACGGACAGGCCGCCGGAGACGAGCCCGUGGCCGUACCCGUACUACUACGAACCGGAGCGCCCCCCGCGGCGCCGCACCUCCGCCCUGGCGUCCUGCCUUAUGGCGGCGGCCUUCCUCCUGUUCGCGGCCGGCGGGGCCGCGACGGCGCUGUUCCUCCUCUUCCGGCCGCAGCCGCCGGAGAUCGCCGUCGCGGCGGUGCGGCUGCCGUCCUUCGCGGCUGCCAACGGCACGGUGGCCUUCACGUUCGAGCAGGUGGCCUCCGUGCGCAACCCCAACCGCGCGCCGCUCGCGCACUUCGACAGCUCGCUCCGCGUCGCCUACGCCGGCGGCGAGAUCGGCUCCAUCUACAUCCCCGCGGGCCUCAUCGACAGCGGCAGCACCAAGCACUGGUCCACCACCUUCGCCGUGCCGGCCUUCCCCGCGGCCACCCCGCCGCCGCUGGACACGACCGCGCAGCAGCCGGCGGCCGCGGCUGCCAUGAUGGAGGUGGACUCGCUGCUGGUGGUGAAGGGCAAGGUGAUGGUGCUGCGGGUGCUGACGCACCGGGUGCAGGCGUCCAAGGUGUGCCGCGUCGGCGUCUCGCCUAUCGACGGCAGGGUGCUUGGCUUCCGGUGCUGA